rnacentral:rRNA from 1 species
GACGAACGCUGGCGGCGUGCUUAACACAUGCAAGUCGAACGGAAAGGCCCUGCUUUUGUGGGGUGCUCGAGUGGCGAACGGGUGAGUAACACGUGAGUAACCUGCCCUUGACUUUGGGAUAACUUCAGGAAACUGGGGCUAAUACCGGAUAGGAGCUCCUGCUGCAUGGUGGGGGUUGGAAAGUUUCGGCGGUUGGGGAUGGACGCGCGGCUUAUCAGCUUGUUGGUGGGGUAGUGGCUUACCAAGGCUUUGACGGGUAGCCGGCCUGAGAGGGUGACCGGCCACAUUGGGACUGAGAUACGGCCCAGACUCCUACGGGAGGCAGCAGUGGGGAAUAUUGCACAAUGGGCGGAAGCCUGAUGCAGCAACGCCGCGUGCGGGAUGACGGCCUUCUGGUUGUAAACCGCUUUCGCCUGUGACGAAGCGUGAGUGACGGUAAUGGGUAAAGAAGCACCGGCUAACUACGUG